AGUGUAUGUUGUUGCCUAGAUUCAUCAUUGAAGGAGAUUCUUCAUUUCAGUUAGAGGUUAGUGAGAAUAAACGGUCUAAUUUUUUUUUCCUAUCCAAGGUCACAAACCCCAUGAAUUUGACCCACAGACCAUCAAGGGGUCCAAGGGCCCUGGAUUAAGAGGCCCAAUCAAGGGCUUGGGAGAUAAUAUCACCCUUCACAGCUGUGUAAGGGCUGCUGCUCUCAAUAUUAUUAUCAACUAUAAUAGCUAAUAUUCAGUGCUUGCUCUGUGGUAGGCAUAAGAAAGGUGAAAGUGUCACACAAAUCUGAACCAUUAUUUUUAUAUUAUAUUAAUGAAUUUAAUGGUUGAUUCAGAAGGAAAUGGCAACCCACUCCAGUAUUCUUGCCUGGAGAAUCCCCUGGAUGGAGGAGCCUGGUAGGCUACAGUCCAUGGGGUCACAAAGAGUGGGACACAAAUGAGCGACUUCACCUUCAUUUUAAGAAAACAAUUGGUACUGCUUUUGGUGAGUUUGGCAUGGCCAGGCUCAUGCCAUGUGCUUCCAGUGGAUUCUUCACUUAGGCCUCCCUACAACCUCGUGAGGUGAGUCUGCUCUUCUUCCCAUUUACGGACAAGGUGAGUAUGUCUCGGUUUAAUCAACUUACUCAAAUCAUGGUGCCAGUAAUUAGUAGAACAAGGAGUUCAAACCCAGAUCUCUUUGACUUAGGACAAAGCACAGAUCCCCCAAAUCGGCAGAAUGACACUCUGCAAACAGAGAGGGCUGCAAGGUGCCACCAGGUGACGUGCCCACAACGUCCACUUGUGCUGGGCAGAAAGACGGACCACUGAGGGGAAAGAGAGACAACUCGGCGCCAAGUCCUGCAUGGAUUAACAAGCCAGUGAUUGCCGAGGCUGUGAGGCAGUUCCUGUGAUAAUCAUUAGCAUCUAGAUUCCAGAACCACGGGGAUCACCGAAGACAGCUGCCUGGCGAAGGGCCUCCCUGGUUUCCCUGAGAAUGCCCUUGCUCUGCACCCGGAGAAACCCACAGGUGCCCCACGGAGCAGCAGCACCCUCUGCACCGGGCCCUGUGGGCACCGCUUUCUCCCAAGGGAAAAAUCUCGCAGUUCCUAUGUGGUGGGAACUCCGCGUCUACAGAGCAGCUUCUGGCAGGAAAGCCCAUGGCAGAGUCCAGCAAGGGGCUACCAAGCCCUGGAGCGCUGCCUCCUGCUUGGCGGGGCUCAGAGGGGGGAUGGAGACCUUCUCAGGCACCAGCAAAUCCGCAGUGUCGGUAGCGGCCGCCGUUCUUCUCACCCGGAGGGAGCCCGGCCGGGUCCACUGGGCUCCCUGCCCAAGCCCUGUGGGCAGUCAGGUGGGAGAGUCUGGGCAGACUGGAGGGCGGGCCCGUGGUGGGCUCAGCUCACCCAAACCACGUUAGCAUCACCUGUCACUUGACAUAAACAGCCGCCCUCCCUACUUCUACCCAUGGGAAAGGCAAAUUUUCAGAAACCUCAUGUCAGCCUCUCCCAGCACUUUCAAAUAUUUUGUGUGGAGCAUGUCACAGUAUGUAAUAACCUCACACAGGCCUCCUCACUGGAUUCAUCUUGGCUAAGAGAUGCACACACACACGGGAGGAUCUGGAGAUGAACCAAAUAUGGACUCAGAACCAGGCAAAGCAAGGUGACUGGCCAAAGGAAACCCAGAAUAAACGCCCCGUAUGUGAUUCAAAUUACCGCAGGAGCACGACUCUCCCUCUGAGCCCGCCCGUGUGUCUAUUCGCAUGUCCCCUUUUCUGUUCCUAAUACAUUGCUUGUUUCACUCCUUUCCAUCUCUCCAUCGAAAUUCAUUUCUACACAG
ensembl:lncRNA